rnacentral:rRNA from 1 species
AACGAACGCUGGCGGCAGGCCUAACACAUGCAAGUCGAGCGAGGACUUCGGUCCUAGCGGCGGACGGGUGAGUAACGCGUGGGAACGUGCCCCUUGGUACGGAAUAGCCCCGGGAAACUGGGAGUAAUACCGUAUGAGCUCUACGGAGGAAAGAUUUAUCGCCAAGGGAUCGGCCCGCGUUGGAUUAGGUAGUUGGUGGGGUAAUGGCCUACCAAGCCGACGAUCCAUAGCUGGUUUGAGAGGAUGAUCAGCCACACUGGGACUGAGACACGGCCCAGACUCCUACGGGAGGCAGCAGUGGGGAAUCUUAGACAAUGGGCGCAAGCCUGAUCUAGCCAUGCCGCGUGAGCGAUGAAGGCCUUAGGGUUGUAAAGCUCUUUCAGCGAGGAAGAUAAUGACUGUACUCGCAGAAGAAGCCCCGGCUAACUCCGUGCCAGCAGCAGCCGCCGUAA